GUCUUUGAUUCGACCAAGAUGAAACUUGAUUUAGGCUCAGAGGUGUAGCCCGAGUCAUUUAAGUAAUCAAAUCGAAAUUGAUUAACCAGUCGGUGUCUAAGAUAAGUUUGGCAGUUUUGACUGGUGGUUUUUAAUUGGGAGCUACUCGCACUGAUUCGUCUUUGUCGAGUUAAUGGCAUAUCCCUUCCACCGAUCUCACUUAUCUGGCCGACAUGGUCAAUCACAUUUUAAUUGGAUCACUUAAUGAUUCGAGUUAGCCCAUGCCUUAAGAAAAAUCAGUAUGACUGAUUUAGGUGUCUUCUUAACCGGUUUGAGUCUAAUCUGAUUUGGUGAAGUCAGUGGAAGAAAUUAGACUAACCGGAUCUUCUUAUCUAUCCUAAUUAUGAAAUCCUCUAAAAUUAUUAGGUCCUUAAAAUGAAAUGGUUAUGGGGAUAACUAGGUCAUAGCCUCCCAUUAAGUUGGGUAAUAAUGGGUCCAAUGUUUUGAUAAUUAUUGGAGGC
rnacentral:lncRNA from 1 species